rnacentral:lncRNA from 1 species
AAAAAAAAAAAACAAAACAAAGAAUGAGAGGUCUAUUGAGUGAAUAAGAGGUAAAGCAAAUAAUUAAUUGAUCGAAAUAUAUGUCAAUAAAUAACUAAGGUUAUGUUAGGAAUUUGAAAUGAGGUCUAGUGAGAAAAUGUUUAUAUUGAAAAGUAAAAAGGGGUAUAAAGAGAAUGAGAGGUAUAUUGAGCAAAUUUAGAGGUCCCAAUAACCGCACUCAAAUAAAAUAUAAUGCCUUAAUCUUAUACAUAUUCUUUCUCCAAAUAUACAUUAAUUCUCUACUUCUCAUUUUCUUGCAUUCAGACCACCUGCUGUAGCUUUUAGACCUGUAAAAGAUCCCAUAGUAGAAUGAUAAUACAUCACCCAUCUGUUUAUUACCAACAAAUUUCUGUUGGAGAUAUUUUCAAAAUAAUUGUUAUUAAAGAAAUCAAAAGGUGUCAUUUAUCUUUGUACCUUUUGGAUUUGUUUGAAUGAAGUAAUAUCACCAAAAUCAAAUGGUACAAGUGAAAAUGUACCUUACUAUGUGAAGGGGUACAUAUACUUUUAUAUAAAUGAUGCAUUCUCUUCAACAACAGAUAAGUCUCAACAUUCUUUAGAGAAUGACAAGAAGAUCUUAAGAAGAUCUAAGCCACCAAUAUCCACCAUUUUCAUGUUUUCAUACAAAUAAAACUAUUAGAAACUAAUAGGCACAAUUAGUUUCUAGUAACCUUGAGCGAUCUUUUGUAAACCUUCUUUUGAGUGUUUAGGUUGGUUUUCAUGGGUGCAAAACGAAGAUCAACAACAACAUUGUGUUGGGCUUCAUUGUAUCCUAAAGACAUAUUUGAUAAAUCCCCUUUGCACACUUGAUAGUGGGGCAAAUAAUGUCUUAAGGAAACCGUUGCUACAACAUGCCUUAGAAACAUAAACUUUCUCAUAAUCCAAACCCACUAAUUUGUUCUAACAAUUUCGUCACCAGCACAAGGUCCUUCCCGAAGAUAUAUAAAGUUUAUAAACCAAGAAGCAAACUGGCUUCUUCUGACACGACCCAUCCCGAAUUUCACCCUGAAACCCGGAGUAAGUCGUGCGGGGACCACCUCCAAGGAAAAUUUACUGAAAAGAUUGAGAAAAAACUCCCUUGCAUAUGGACAACCCUAACUCGAAAAUUCCAAAUUACACUCUUAAUACAACACGUCCAAACAUCACAUAAUUAUCCUUCAGAAAUUCUACACAUAAUAUACAAUAAUCCCAAAGUAUUCAGAGCUACUAAACACUAGCGGAAGCAAGAAAACACGAGUAGGUUGAACAGGUAACCUACUGACAAAAACUAGUAGAAAUGCGGGUGACUAUGCCUCGCCUCCUACUAGAUCCAACCCGAACACUGCAGACUGGGCAAUUUAAAAUGAAUGCCCCAGGGGAAAACAUUUAAUAACGUUAGAGUGAGUGGACAAAAAUAAAAUAAUAAUUAAAAUAUUUAUGUUUCCCCAAAUUAAUUUCUAAUGAAAAAUCGAAUGCAUGCCGCAAGAGAUAAAACUUUUAUCUCAUAAAAUAUCGAGCCUCUCAGACUCUAUAAUAUAUGUAUGUAUUUACACUCGUCCAUACUCCCUAUAUAAAUUCAUGGGUCUAUAUAGGGCUACUACGCUUGCGUCCAACGCUCACGUCACGCCUUAAUGC